UCUUUUUUUUUUUCUUUUUUUUUCUUUUUCUUUUUCUUCUUGGACGAUGUCUUCUCACGAAGAAGAUUCUGAGAGUGAUGGAGUCUGCGAUGAGAGCGAAACAGAAAUCUAUGACGAAUCCUCAGACGAAGCAGAGGAUCACCAAGAAUUCUUUCGAGUUGAUGAUGAUGAAAAAGA
rnacentral:ribozyme from 1 species